AUGCGGACAGCACGCGGGGUGUGCUCGUUGGGCGUGGCCCAAGCAUCUCGGUGGCCAUCCAGCGGGCAAGGUACGCCGACCCGUCCCGAGGUGUGGGCGGUGCUGCGGCGCGCGAGGUCGAGCCCGGUGUGCCGAUGCCUGACGGAGACGGUGCGCAAGUUGGGCUGUCGGCUGGCGCUGACCUCUUUGCCGCCGGAGGUGCUCGACGUGAGGUGGGAUGUGGUCGUCGGCGGCGGGCCGAGAAGGGCAGGUCCCGAGGAGCCAGGGCGGAUGGGCGGAUGGGCGCCAUAUACACGACGACCUCACUCGCGCGCGCGACGGGGGGCGAAGCGGUGGACGUGA
rnacentral:rRNA from 1 species